UACGUAGGCAGCGAGCGUUGUUCGGAGUUACUGGGCGUAAAGGGUGUGUAGGCGGCGCGGAAAGUUGGGUGUGAAAUCCCUCGGCUCAACCGAGGAACUGCGCCCAAUACUACCGUGCUCGAGGGAGAUAGAGGUGAGCGGAACUUAGGGUGGAGCGGUGAAAUGCGUUGAUAUCCUAAGGAACACCGGUGGCGAAAGCGGCUCACUGGAUCUCUUCUGACGCUGAGGCACGAAAGCGUGGGGAGCAAACAGGG
rnacentral:rRNA from 1 species